CUACGGGUUGCUGCAGUGAGGAAUAUUGCACAAUGGGGGGAACCCUGAUGCAGCAACGCCGCGUGGAGGAUGACGCAUUUCGGUGUGUAAACUCCUCUUAUAUGUCAAGAAAAUGACGGUAGCAUAUGAAUAAGCACCGGCUAACUCCGUGCCAGCAGCCGCGGUAAUACGGAGGGUGCAAGCGUUACUCGGAAUCACUGGGCGUAAAAGGACGCGUAGGCGGGUUGGAAAGUCAGGUGUGAAAUCCUACAGCUUAACUGUAGAACUGCACUUGAAACUUCUAAUCUAGAGUAUGGGAGGGGGAGAUGGAAUUAGUGGUGUAGGGGUAAAAUCCGUAGAUAUCACUAGGAAUACCUAAAGCGAAGGCGAUCUCCUGGAACAUUACUGACGCUAAGGCGUGAAAGCGUGGGGAGCAAACAGGAUUAGAUACCCCCGUAGUC
rnacentral:rRNA from 1 species